rnacentral:rRNA from 1 species
UACGAAGGGUGCAAACGUUGCUCGGAAUUACUGGGCGUAAAGAGCUCGUAGGUGGUUUGUCGCGUUGUCCGUGAAAACUCACAGCUCAACUGUGGGCGUGCGGGCGAUACGGGCAGACUGGAGUACUGCAGGGGAGACUGGAAUUCCUGGUGUAGCGGUGGAAUGCGCAGAUAUCAGGAGGAACACCGGUGGCGAAGGCGGGUCUCUGGGCAGUAACUGACGCUGAGGAGCGAAAGCGUGGGGAGCGAACAGG